GAAAAUUUUUGUUUAAUGACACGCAUAAUUAGUAUUCUUGUUACAAUGGACUAUGAACUGAUACUAAACAAAUUUUUUAUCUGCAACACUAUAAAUUGAUGUUUGUUUUACUAAUUUAGUCAGUUAGUGCUUAAUGGCGAGAGGUGAAGGUUUACUUAAUAGCAGCAUAAACAAGUUACCGAUCGAAUUGCAUCUUCCGGGGUAUCAAUACUGUGGUCCUGGUACAAAGUUAGCAAAAAGACUUAAUCGACAAGAUCCAGGAAUAAAUAAACUUGAUCAGUAUUGUAAAGUUCACGAUAUAGAAUACUCUAAAUCAAAUAAUUUGAAAGAUAGACAUAAAGCUGAUCAAAUUUUGGAAAACAAAGCCUGGUCACGUGUAAUAUCAAAAGACGCUAAAUUUGGUGAAAAAGCAAGUGCGUGGUUGGUAACAAAUAUUAUGAAACUAAAAAGAAAACUCGGAAUGGGUAUUAAAAGAACAACAAAGAAGAAAACAAUUAAGAAGAAAAAAACUCGUAAAUGUCAAAGAGGAAUAAAAAGAACUCGUAAAUGUGGAAGAGGAAUGAAAAAAACACGUCAACAACAACAACAACAACAACAACAACAACAACAACAACAACAACAACAUAAUGGAAAGACAAAAAUGAAUUUAAGAAAAAGAUGUAAUACAAAAAAACGAAUUGGAUUUCAAGCUGGUAUUAUUAAUAGUCUAAGAAAAAGUGGUUUAACAGAAAAUCAUAAAAUAAGUACUAUUCUAAAACACGCACGAGCAGCAGUUAAAGCAGCAGGAGGGAAAAAAAAUAUUAAAGUCCCUAGAAUUAUCCCUAUUAAAAAAGGAGGACUUAUACCACUUUUACCUUUAAUUUUUGGUGGACUUAGUGCACUAGGAAGUUUAGGUGCUGGUGCUGCUACAGUGGCUCGUGCAGUAAAUAAUGCAAAAAGUGCACAGAAAAAAUUAGAAGAAGCACAACGGCAUAAUAAAACUAUGGAAGCAAUAGCUAUUGGAAAAAAAGGAAGCGGUCUUUAUUUAAAACGUUUGCGAAAAGGAUAUGGCUUAUUUUUAAAAAAAUUUUCAAAAAACUCCCAAUAAAGCUACCCAAGAAAGCAUUAACUAAUCAAAAUUUACUAAAAUAUGCUAAAAUCUUAAAACUUACAGAUUUUCGAGGUGUAUUUAUGAAAGAUAAAUUACCACAACAUUGUUUUAAUUAUGAAAGUGGAAUAGUAAAUCUUGAUGAUAAUAAAGGAGAAGGCACACAUUGGGUAGCUUAUAAAAAAAAUAAAAAAAUUGUGCAUUAUUUUGAUAGUUUUGGCAACUUUAAGCCACCAAAAUCCCUAAUUAAUUAUUUUAAAAACUGUAAAAUUUAUUAUAACCAUGAUAAAUUUCAAAAUCUAACCUAUAAUUGUGGACAUUUGUGUUUAAAAUUUCUAUAUAAUAUGAAACAUAAUUAAAUUAAAUCAGUUUCAUUCUAACAGUUGUCAUGUUUGUUCUUCUUUUAUUUACUGAUACGAAAAGUGUUUUGAGUGUUAAUCUGUCACCACCAAUUUAUAUUGAUAAUAAUUAUAUAUAUUCUCUAGCACUAAUUGGAUUAGAUACUUAUAAUCACAUACCAAAUAUUGAAGAUGGUACUGAUAAGUUAUAUUAUAACACAAUAACCAAAAAUCCUUCAAAUAAUCAAAUUGUUAGAACACAAAACGUAAUUCGUCUUCCUAAAGGAACAUUUGAAAUUUCAGAUAUCGAAAAAUACAUUCAAGAUAAUUUAGUUGGAAGUGAAGUAAGUGAGAAAGAAAGAAAUACAUUUUUUUCAUUAAAACCAAAUAUAAAUACAUUAAAGUGUGAAAUAAAAAGCAUAUACGAAAUAGACUUUACGCCAGCUGAUUCAAUUUCUAAAAUCCUAGGCUUUUCCAAUAAAAUAUUACAAGCAAAUCAAUUACAUGAAAGCGAUUUACCUGUAAAUAUUAUCAAGGCAAAUUCAAUAAGGGUAGACUGUAAUAUAAUAGAAGGCUCAUAUUUAAACGGAAAUUUAUAUCAUAGUUUAUAUCAAAGUCCAAUUACUGUAAGUCCAGCUGAACAAAUUGUAAUAAGUCCCCAAAAUCAUAUUUAUUUACCUAUAGAUAGACAACAAGUCAUAGAAAAUAUUACCCUAAAACUUGUUGAUCAAAACAGUGAAUUAAUUGAUUUUAACGGGCAAACAAUCAAUAUUCAAUUAGCAUUAAAAAUUGAAAGAAAAUAAUAUUGAAUAUGAGAUUAAUCUAUAAAGAUGAGAGUUCCACCAGUUUCUUAUCAGUACCAAAUGAACCAUCUAGCCGUUCAUUAGCUAUAACAAGUGGUUCUUCAAAAAACUUAAAAUCUACAAAAAAACUAACCUUAAAAUCGAAAACAAAAUUAACCUCAAAAAGUAUCAAGAUUUUAAAAUCAUUAGGUUACAAUGUCGUUAAUAUCAAACGUACUCCAAAUCUUUCGAAAACCUACACAAGACGAAAGUAUUGAAAGGACAGAAGAACACACAUAUAAUCCUCAAAAUCAACUAUUUAGAAAUAAUGAUCGCAUAAAUUUUAUUAUUAAUCAAGAAAACGUAUGGAUAUUAUGGAAAAAAUCAUAUAUUAAAAUCAAUUGUACCUUAGAAUGGGAUCCACUUCCUGCAAACACAACUGAAGAAGCAUUUGGUCAAGUUACUUUAACCAAUAAUAUCGGUCCAUUUUUAUUUGAUUCUAUUUCAUAUUACCUUAAUAAUACUGAAAUAGAUAGUGUAGACCAAGUUGGUUUGGUUUCAACAGUUAAAACAUAUCUUUGUUUUAUGAAAAAUGAAUUUGAGGAAUAUCAGUCUCUAGGAUGGACAAAAAAUUUAAAUGAUCAACUUUAUACAUUUGAUCCGAGAACUAAAAAGUUUUCUCUUAAAUUAAAAUUAUCUCAAAUGUUAAAUUUACCAUUUACUUAUGAACGUAUUAUGUGUGGCACUCAUAAAAUAAGUUUAGUAAGAUCUAGAACAGAUGAUAAUUGUUAUGUGAGUACAGGAGUAAGAAAAGCUCGAAUUACUAUAACAGAUAUGAAUUUAGUAGCUUUACAUGUUUAUCCUGCUGCUAAAAUUCAACUUCAGUUACUUGAUUCAAUAAAAAAAAAUCGUGCAAUUCCAUUAGCUUUUCAAAAAUGGGAAAUACAGUCUAAGGAUUUACCAGACGCUAAAACAACUUCAUGGAAAAUUCAAACCAUUCAACAUGUUGAACGUCCUAAUUGGAUUAUUGUAUUUUUUCAAACUGAACGAGAUUUUAAUUCACGAAAAAAUAGCACUCAUUUUGAUCAUAUUAACUUACAAAAUAUAAGAUUAAAAAUUAACAGCAGAUAUAUUCCUUACGAUAAGUGGAGACUUGAUUUUACAAAAAAUUAUUAUGAAGAAGCUUAUGAUGCUUAUACUGAGUUUUAUAAAACCUAUUAUCAAAAAAAUCGCCAUCAACCAUUUUUAAAUUAUAAUGAAUAUAAAAAUUCACCUUUAUUUAUAAUUGACUGUACGACUAAUGUACACGAAAAUGCUUUCUCUUCCGAAAUGGAUGCCACAAUCGAAAUUGAAAGUUCAGAAAAUUUUCCAAUUCAUACAAAAGCCUACUAUAUAAUUAUUCAAGAUCGAGUCGGAAGUUAUAAUGCAAUAUCAGAAGCAAUUACCAUGUUUCCAUAAUCUUAAUUUAGAUUAGAUUCGUUCAAUUUAGUUUAAUUUAGUUUAAUUUAGUUUAGUUUAAUUUAAUUUAAUUAUAGUAAUUUUAAAUGAAAAUUCAAUAAGUAUGAGUCAUUAUCUUUCGAGUAUAAAUUUAGAACCAACUGCAGAUAAGAAAUAUUAUAUAAAAAAAAAACAACUGUUUCCAUGUAUCAGAACAUCUUGGGGUUUUUAACACAAAACACGAUGACAAAAUUAAAUACAGGUUUCAACGUUAAAGAAAAGAACAAAAAAAACGAAAAGAAUGAAAAGAACAAAAAAAACCAAAAUAAUGAAGAGGAGGAAAUUAAUAAAGAUAUUUCUUGGGACGUACGAGUAAUUAAAAAAGGCGAUGACUUUUCACUUCUUUUAUCGUUUUUUUGUAAGUGAUAAUAAAUUUAAUUUUUAGAUUUCAAUUCUGAUUUUUUCAGUUACUUACGCUUUUAAUGCAAUAGGAUUUUUAAUAAUAAUGAUAAUGUGUUUUUCCAAAAAAACAUAUAUUACAAUGGCUGGGUAUUAUGGAGCUUUAAUGGGAUUAGCAGUAUCGAUACUUCACUACGGUCUAAGUUUAUUCUUUACAUUCCUAAGGACUAACAAAACUGACACUUCCAUUUUAAUUUCUUCUUUAUUAAUAUGUAUUUCAGCAUUGGUGUUGUAUAUCAAUUGGAUAAUGUUUUUUUAUAAAUUUUAUAACUUUCAAAAUCAAGCGUGUAUAUUAAUUACAAAAAAUAAAAUAUCUAAUCCUUAUUUUGUAUUUUUAUUAUUAUUCCUUCCAAACUUAUAUAUAACAUUAAAAUUUAUCUUGUUUUAAUCAGUUUUAUAAUGGUUAUCGACUUGUUCGGACGUAACUCAAUAUCAUCAGGAUAUACUCGUAAUAUCCUAAAUGAUAAAUUUGAGAACAUAAUUAAUAAUAUAAUACCCACUGAAAUUGAUGAUAAAUUAAAUAAAUCAAUAAACAAAAUAGAAAAACAUAUUUUCGAUUUAACUAAAAAAAUAAACAAAAUAAAUAAUCUCUUUGAAAAAGAGAAAACCAACUUAACAAUCAAUAAGGAAAUAAUUGAAAAUCAUUUUAAUAAAAUGGAACAAUAUACUCGUAAAAUCCUAAAUGAUAAGUUUGAGAACAUAAUUAAUAAUAUAAUACCUAUUGAAAUUGAUGAUAAAUUAAAUAAAUCAAUAAACAAUAUAGAAAAACAUAUUUUCGAUAUAACUAAAAAAAUAAAUAUAAUAGAUAAUCUAUUUAAAAAAGAGAAAACCAACUUAAUAAUCAAUAAGGAAAUAAUUGAAAAUCAUUUUAAUAAAAUGGAACAAAUUUUAUUUGAUUUACAUAAAGUAUUUGAGAAGUUUAAACAAUAUGAUAAAGAGAUGAACAGUAAAAUAGGAAUCUUAGAUAGUAAACUUAAAAAUAUUAACAAUAUUAUUAAUUCAAUUACCAAUGUGCUAGAUAAAAGAAUGAACAAUAAAAUUACAACUAUACUUGACACUCAUAUGAAUAAUAAAAUUGAUAUCAAAUGGAAAAUGUUAAUGAAUAAUACUAAUGAACUAACGAAUCGAAUUAAAAAAUUGGAAAAAGAAUAUAAUACAUUAGAUAAAAAAAGAACGACCAUACCAAAAACUAUAACUAACAGCAAAAAAAUGAAAAAUACAAAUAAAAAACAAACCAACGAAAAAAUUGAUUCUUAUGAGAAUACUGAAAUAGAUGAUGUUAAAAUAGAACCUUUACCCCACAAUAAAAACAAAUGUCUUCCAGGUUACCAAGCUGACAAGCAUGGGCAUUGUAGAGAAGUAUAUUAAACAUGUCUUUUUAGGCUUAUAGGUACCUUAUUCUACAAGAAUUAAAUAAAAAUAUACAAUUAGUAAAAUACAAUUAUAACAACAUGUAAUAAUGAAAUAAUAAAUUAUUAAUGAACAUUCCCUUCUUGUUAGUCACAAGGUUACACGUGUAAUAUUAUUGUGAUUUGUGGUUUUUUAUCUUAUCAAUUACUAUCUUGCUCCUAAUUAAAAUUUAUUUAUCAACGGAAAUUGUGGUUAGAAACAUUCUAUUUCUGUUAGUCAUAGGGUUACACGUGUGAUAUUUAUUGUGGUUUGUGGUUUUUUAUCUUAUCAAUUACUGUCUUGUCUAUAACUUUGUUAUUGUGAUUAGUCUUUGUUACUGUGAUUUGUAAUUUUUAUCUUAUCAAUUACUAUCUUGCCCCUAAUUAAAAUUUAUUUAUCAACGGAAAUUGUGGUUUUCAUGUCUCAUCCUGUUGUUCAACCCAACUUUAUAUAAAGACGUUCAUGUACAUGGUAUUUCGAGUAGUGUCUAGUCAAACGUAGUGUAGUCGAAAAACUGUCUUAAAAAAAAUAUAUAUAUAUAAUGUCGUUAUAAUGUCGUUACCAAAUAUUGAAUUUCGAUUAACUACACUAGAACUUGAAGAAUUCUUAAGCAGUGUAUACGACCUUAAAGAAAAAAUAAUUCUCCAAAAAGUAUGGAAGACGUUAGCAAAUUUAAAUUCAAAUGGACGGAAAUCUUUUUUGAGUGGAGGAUACGCAGCAUUCAUAAAAGGCUACACAACAGCGUAUACAGACGUGGAUAUUUAUAUAGAAGGUAAUCCACGUAAAGAAGAGAUCACUGAUCUCACAAAAUACUAUAACAUAAACAAUUCAAAUAUUAUCACAUAUUUCGAAAUGGAGACGUCGAAUCUAAAUAUCUUAUUUAAUUUUAUAUACGUAAAGCGACCUUGGGAUAAUAUCAUAAUAAAUGCUCUGCAGAUAAUUAGUGAAUUUGAUAUAAAUAUAUGUAAAAUCGCAUAUUUUCCAAUCGAAAUCAACGGAGGGUUAAAAAUACAAUUAGUUGAAAUGGUAUUAUCCAGUAAAGAUUUAUCAUUUCAAAAAGCAAAAACGGUAGAACGGGCUCUAAAAUAUGAACUACGAUUAAAAGAAAAUAUAUCAGAAAAACUGCUUGCUAUACAGAAAUCGAGUAAUUCAAAUCCAAAAAUAUAUAUAAAUUUGAAAGAAAACGCUACUGUAGAAGACAAAGAUGCUAUGUUCCGAAGAUUAAAAAGCCACUUUGAAAAAAAUAAAUCAACUUCUUUUCAGGAUACAUCUACUGACGGACUGAUGAAUUGCGUAUCAUUAACAUCAUCAUCAUCAUCUACAAGCCUACCAUUAGGACUUAUGACACCAGCAAAGGAAACCUCUAAUUUUUUUCAGGAAAAAUCAACCGAUAGAUGUGAGAAGGACAACAACAAAAAGACCGCUGAUUUUUUUAGGAUAAUUCAACAGAUGGAAUCAUCGCCAAUAGGGGAGGACCACUGCGCCUCACAUCAUCAACAGGAUUCAGGCUUUAGGACAGAGGACGAUCUCCAGAAGUCCAAAAAUCCACACCACUGUUGUUAGACGUCGUCAUAAUCUUUUUUUAACUUUAUUAUUAUUAGCCAGUCUAAAAACAAAAAGUCAAGCCGAAGGUUAUUGGGGGGUUGUUAGGGGAAAAUCCUAGACACAGACCAGAUCACCUCUCUCAACCCCCCGCAAAAAAACCUUCGGCUUGACAAAAAAAAAAAAUAAAAAAAAAUAAAAAAAAAUAAAAAAAAUAAAAAAAACCUACCUAUACCUACCCUACCUAUACCUACCUACCUCGUUUGUACCGUAUGUAAAUAUAUGAUAUAUUGUAUGUUGUUUUGUUUUAAUAUAUUAUUUUUAAAAUACUCAUAUUAAUGUAAAAUAUUAUUUUAUAAAUACAUAAUGUGUUACAUA